GACGAACGCUGGCGGCGUGCUUAACACAUGCAAGUCGAGCGGUAAGGCCCUUUCGGGGGUACGACGAGCGGCGAACGGGUGAGUAACACGUGGGUGACCUGCCCUCCAGCUCUGGGAGUAAGCCUGGGAAACCGGGGUACUAAUACCGGAUAUGACUCCAUGACGCAUGUUGUGGGGUGGAAAGACCUUGUGCGGCUGAGGAUGGGCCCGCGGCCUAUCAGCUUGUUGGUGGGGUGAUGGCCUACCAAGGCGACGACGGGUAGCCGGCCUGAGAGGGCGACCGGCCACACUGGGACUGAGACACGGCCCAGACUCCUACGGGAGGCAGCAGUGGGGAAUCUUGCGCAAUGGGCGAAAGCCUGACGCAGCGACGCCGCGUGA
rnacentral:rRNA from 1 species